rnacentral:rRNA from 1 species
AGGGUUUGAUCCUGGCUCAGAACGUACGCUGGCGGCACGCCUAACACAUGCAAGUCGAACGAAGUAGCAAUACUUAGUGGCAGACGGGUGAGUAACAUGUAGGUAUCUGCCCUUUGGCCUGGAAUAACACGAGGAAACUUGUGCUAAUACCGGAUAAGUCUUUACGGAGAAAGCUUUAUGCACCAUUGGAUGAGCCUGCACUUGAUUAGUUUGUUGGUGGGGUAAUGGCCUACCAAGACUGUGAUCAAUAGCUGAUUUGAGAGGAUGAUCAGCCACAUUGGGACUGAGACACGGCCCAAACUCCUACGGGAGGCAGCAGUGGGGAAUCUUGCACAAUGGAGGAAACUCUGAUGCAGCGAUGCCGCGUGAGUGAAGAAGGCCCUUGGGUUGUAAAGCUCUUUCGUCGGGGAAGAAAAUGACUGUACCCGAAUAAGAAGGUCCGGCUAACUUCGUGCCAGCCGCCGCGGUAAUAC